CUUUUAAUUGCUGCAUAAACGGUUGCCUAGGAAACCUCCUGACUGAAUGAAGAGGCGCAAAUGAGCUCGGUGCCAAGCCUGCAGGUAUGACUCACAGCCCUUGCUCCCACCAAGUAGGUCCUCCUCAGCUCUUAGAGGCAGAUAUCUGUGCAACUCAGAGGUCACAGGGUGUUUUCUAUCAUCUCCCAUAAAACUGGCAGGCUUGAGCUUAAAUCAUCAGCGAGGCAGAAAAACCCCGGACGGUGAAAUAUCCAAACUCUUCUCACCCUGAAA